GUCCAGACUCCUACGGGAGGCAGCAGUGGGGAAUAUUGGACAAUGGGGGGAACCCUGAUCCAGCGACGCCGCGUGAGUGAAGAAGUAUUUCGGUAUGUAAAGCUCUAUCAGCAGGGAAGAAAAUGACGGUACCUGAAGAAGAAGCCCCGGCUAACUACGUGCCAGCAGCCGCGGUAAUACGUAGGGGGCAAGCGUUAUCCGGAUUUACUGGGUGUAAAGGGGGCGCAGACGGCGAUGCAAGCCAGGAGUGAAAGCCCGGGGCCCAACCCCGGGACUGCUCUUGGAACUGCGUGGCUAGAGUGCAGGAGGGGCAGGCGGAAUUCCUGGUGUAGCGGUGAAAUGCGUAGAUAUCAGGAGGAACACCGGUGGCGAAGGCGGCCUGCUGGGCUUUUACUGACGCUGAGGCUCGAAAGUGUGGGGAGCAAACAGGAUUAGAUACCCGGGUA
rnacentral:rRNA from 1 species